AGGUGUGAACCUCAAAUGGACUGAAUAACCCUGAGUUGGUUGCAGUCCCAGGAGCCUGAUGUUAAUGAGGCUGCCAGGAUGAAAUACUCCAGAACUGUUGGGGAUCCAAAUUCGGGUCUCACCCUAGCAGAACUGAUCCAAGAACGUCACAACUUUUGAAGUCGAUUGGCACAGAUCAAGACCAAGAUUUGGCCCUUUGUCUGUAAUAAGUAGAGGAACUUGGUGACGGGACCCAGGGCGCUUGUACUCGGAGCCAGGCUGCUCUCCAGGCAUUGUGUAAGCCUCUUGUGUUGUGCUCUCUUUCAGGUAGGAUAAUUGCGGACUGAACCCUCGGGCUGCGGUCAUAUAUGAGAACUUGCUCCGCGCGGUCCCCUUUGCCGGGAUGUUUCCAUUGCUUCAUGUUUCAGUAAACAAAAGGAGUUUGUGACCAA
rnacentral:sRNA from 2 species